rnacentral:rRNA from 1 species
CAGUAGCCGCGGGAAAACGGAGGGUGCAAGCGUUAAUCGGAAUUACUGGGCGUAAAGCGCACGCAGGCGGUUUGUUAAGUCAGAUGUGAAAUCCCCGAGCUUAACUUGGGAACUGCAUUUGAAACUGGCAAGCUAGAGUCUUGUAGAGGGGGGUAGAAUUCCAGGUGUAGCGGUGAAAUGCGUAGAGAUCUGGAGGAAUACCGGUGGCGAAGGCGGCCCCCUGGACAAAGACUGACGCUCAGGUGCGAAAGCGUGGGGAGCAAACAGGAUUAGAUACCCCGGUAGUCCCUGUCUCUUAUAC